rnacentral:rRNA from 1 species
AUUGAACGCUGGCGGCAUGCCUUACACAUGCAAGUCGAACGGCAGCACGGGUGCUUGCACCUGGUGGCGAGUGGCGAACGGGUGAGUAAUACAUCGGAACAUGUCCUGUAGUGGGGGAUAGCCCGGCGAAAGCCGGAUUAAUACCGCAUACGAUCUACGGAUGAAAGCGGGGGACCUUCGGGCCUCGCGCUAUAGGGUUGGCCGAUGGCUGAUUAGCUAGUUGGUGGGGUAAAGGCCUACCAAGGCGACGAUCAGUAGAUGGUCUGAGAGGACGACCAGCCACACUGGGACUGAGACACGGCCCAGACUCCUACGGGAGGCAGCAGUGGGGAAUUUUGGACAAUGGGCGAAAGCCUGAUCCAGCAAUGCCGCGCGUGUGAAGAAGGCCUUCGGGUUGUAAAGCACUUUUGUCCGGAAAGAAAUCCUUGGCUCUAAUACAGUCGGGGGAUGACGGUACCGGAAGAAUAAGCACCGGCUAACUACGUG